UCCCUGGUAGUCCAGUGGUUAGGACCUGGCAUUUUCACUGCCGAGGGCCCGAGUUCAAUUCCUGGUCAGGGAA